rnacentral:rRNA from 1 species
GACGUAGGGCGCGAGCGUUGUCCGGAUUUAUUGGGCGUAAAGAGCUCGUAGGCGGCUUGUCGCGUCGACCGUGAAAACUUGGGGCUCAACCCCAAGCCUGCGGUCGAUACGGGCAGGCUCGAGUUCGGUAGGGGAGACUGGAAUUCCUGGUGUAGCGGUGAAAUGCGCAGAUAUCAGGAGGAACACCGAUGGCGAAGGCAGGUCUCUGGGCCGAUACUGACGCUGACAGCGCGAAAGCUAGGGGAGCGAACGGG